rnacentral:rRNA from 1 species
GACAUAGGUCGCGAACGUUAUCCGGAAUUAUUGGGCGUAAAGGGUGCGUAGAUGGUGUGAUAAGUUGUUGGUGGUAAACCGAGGCUCAACCUCGUGGAAGCUGAUAAUACUGUCACACUAGAGUGUAGGAGAGGUUAACGGAACUCCAUGUGGAGCGGUAAAAUGCGUAGAUAUCAGGAAGAACACCCGUGGCUAAGGCGGCUCUCUAGUACGGUACUGACGCUGAGACGCGAAAGCGUGGGGAGCGAACAGG